AGAGUUUGAUCCUGGCUCAGGAUGAACGCUGGCGGCGUGCUUAACACAUGCAAGUCGAACGGACCUUCGGGUUAGUGGCGGACGGGUGAGUAACGCGUGAGAAUCUGCCCUCAGGAGGGGGAUAACAGUUGGAAACGACUGCUAAUACCCCAUAUACCGAGAGGUGAAAUGAAUUUCGCCUGGGGAUGAGCUCGCGUCUGAUUAGCUUGUUGGUGGGGUAACGGCCUACCAAGGCUUCGAUCAGUAGCUGGUCUGAGAGGACGAUCAGCCACACUGGGACUGAGACACGGCCCAGACUCCUACGGGAGGCAGCAGUGGGGAAUUUUCCGCAAUGGGCGAAAGCCUGACGGAGCAACGCCGCGUGAGGGACGAAGGCCUUUGGGCUGUAAACCUCUUUUCUCAAGGAAGAAGACCUGACGGUACUUGAGGAAUAAGCCACGGCUAAUUCCGUGCCAGCAGCCGCGGUAAUACGGGAGUGGCAAGCGUUAUCCGGAAUUAUUGGGCGUAAAGCGUCCGCAGGCGGCCGUUUAAGUCUGUUGUUAAAUCGUGGAGCUCAACUCCAUCACGGCAAUGGAAACUGUUCGGCUUGAGUAUGGUAGGGGCAGAGGGAAUUUCCGGUGUAGCGGUGAAAUGCGUAGAUAUCGGGAAGAACACCAGUGGCAAAAGCGCUCUGCUGGGCCAUUACUGACGCUCAUGGACGAAAGCCAGGGGAGCGAAAGGGAUUAGAUACCCCUGUAGUCCUGGCCGUAAACGAUGAACACUAGAUGUUGGGGGAAUCGACCCCCUCGGUGUCGUAGCUAACGCGUUAAGUGUUCCGCCUGGGGAGUACGCACGCAAGUGUGAAACUCAAAGGAAUUGACGGGGGCCCGCACAAGCGGUGGAGUAUGUGGUUUAAUUCGAUGCAACGCGAAGAACCUUACCAAGGCUUGACAUCCUGCGAAUCUCCAAGAAAUUGGAGAGUGCCUUCGGGAACGCAGUGACAGGUGGUGCAUGGCUGUCGUCAGCUCGUG
rnacentral:rRNA from 1 species